UGGGGAAUAUUGCACAAUGGAGGGAACUCUGAUGCAGCGACGCCGCGUGAACGAAGAAGGCUUUCGAGUCGUAAAGUUCUUUUAUAUGGGAAGAUAAUGACGGUACCAUAAGAAAAAGCCCCGGCUAACUACGUGCCAGCAGCCGCGGUAAUACGUAGGGGGCUAGCGUUGUCCGGAAUCACUGGGCGUAAAGGGUUCGCAGGCGGAAAUGCAAGUCAGGUGUAAAAGGCAGUAGCUUAACUACUGUAAGCAUUUGAAACUGCAUAUCUUGAGAAGAGUAGAGGUAAGUGGAAUUUUUAGUGUAGCGGUGAAAUGCGUAGAUAUUAAAAAGAAUACCUGUGGCGAAGGCGACUUACUGGGCUCAUUCUGACGCUGAGGAACGAAAGCGUGGGUAGCAAACAGG
rnacentral:rRNA from 2 species